rnacentral:lncRNA from 1 species
AAACCACGGCCGUUGUCACAAGACAACCAGAGAAAAAUAUUCACUAUGUGGAAAAUUAUUACAACCACUCUCAGAAAUAAUUUUCUCUCACCCAAGCCCCAAAUACAUAAUCCUGAAAAAUACCCCUUAACAAAGCAAACUCGUAAUACCCAUAUUGAGGAGCCAAAUGCUCCUUCAAUAUAACUACAUGCUUAAGAAUAUUUCUCUUUCUCAAUUUCUCACCAAAACUUGGAUUCCUU